rnacentral:rRNA from 1 species
GCUCUUGGGUGGCGGGUGGCGGACGGGUGAGUAAUGCGUAGGAAUCUACCGUAGAGAGGGGGAACCUCGGGGAAACUCGAGCUAAUACCGCAUAUAGUCUGAGGACAAAAGGUGGCGCCUGUUUACAGGGCUAUCGCUCUACGAUGAGCCUACGUCGGAUUAGCUAGUUGGCGGGGUAAAGGCCCACCUAGGCUUCGAUCCGUAGCUGGUCUGAGAGGAUGAUCAGCCACACUGGGACUGAGACACGGCCCAGACUCCUACGGGAGGCAGCAGUGGGGAAUAUUGGACAAUGGGGGCAACCCUGAUCCAGCGAUGCCGCGUGUGUGAAGAAGGCCUGCGGGUUGUAAAGCACUUUAGUUGGGGAGGAGAAGGUUCGUAUGAACAAUGCGAGCUGGAGACGUUACCCAAAGAAUAAGCACCGGCAAACUCUGUGCCAGCAGCCGCGGUAAUACAGAGGGUGCAAGCGUUAAUCGGAGUUACUGGGCGUAAAGGGCACGUAGGUGGUUAUGUAAGUCAGUUGUGAAAUCCCCGGGCUUAACCUGGGAACUGCAGCUGAAGCUGUAUGACUAGAGUCGAAGAGAGGGAAGCGGAAUUUCCGGUGUAGCGGUGAAAUGCGUAGAUAUCGGAAGGAACAUCUGUGGCGAAGGCGGCUUCCUGGCUUCAGACUGACACUGAGGUGCGAAAGCGUGGGUAGCGAACAGGAUUAGAUACCCUGGUAGUCCACGCUGUAAACGAUGAGUACUAGCUGUUGGAAGGCUAAGACCUUUCAGUAGCGGAGCUAACGCAUUAAGUACUCCGCCUGGGGAAUACGGCCGCAAGGCUAAAACUCAAAGAAAUUGACGGGGGCCCGCACAAGCGGUGGAGCAUGUGGUUUAAUUCGAUGCAACGCGAAAACCUUACCUACCCUUGACAUCCUGGGAAU